rnacentral:rRNA from 2 species
AUGGGCGAAAGCCUGAUGCAGCGGCGCCGCGUGCGGGACGAAGGCCUUCGGGUUGUAAACCGCUUUCAGCAGGGACGAGGCGAAAGUGACGGUACCUGCAGAAGAAGCCCCGGCUAACUACGUGCCAGCAGCCGCGGUAAUACGUAGGGGGCAAGCGUUAUCCGGAUUCAUUGGGCGUAAAGCGCUCGUAGGCGGUCUGUUAGGUCGGGAGUUAAAUCCGGAGGCUCAACCUCCGCCCGCUCCCGAUACCGGCAGACUUGAGUUUGGUAGGGGAAGGUGGAAUUCCUAGUGUAGCGGUGGAAUGCGCAGAUAUUAGGAAGAACACCAGUGGCGAAGGCGGCCUUCUGGGCCAUAACUGACGCUGAGGAGCGAAAGCUAGGGGAGCAAACAGGAUUAGAUACCCUGGUAGUCCUAGCUGUAAACGAUGGACACUAGGUGUGGGAGAAGUACGUCUUCCGUGCCGCAGCUAACGCAUUAAGUGUCCCGCCUGGGGAGUACGGCCGCAAGGCUAAAACUCAAAGGAAUUGACGGGGACCCGCACAAGCAGCGGAGCAUGUGGUUUAAUUCGAAGCAACGCGAAGAACCUUACCA